GUGCCAGCCGCCGCGGUAAUACGGGAGGUGCAAGCGUUGUUCGGAAUUAUUGGGCGUAAAGAGCACGUAGGUGGGUUGGUAAGUCGGAUGUGAAAGCCCUAGGCUCAACCUAGGAAUUGCACCCGAAACUACCGAUCUUGAAUACUUGAGGGGUUGGAGAAAUUCCAGGUGUAGGAGUGAAAUCCGUAGAGAUCUGGAGGAAUACCGGAGGCGAAGGCGUCCAACUGGCAAUGUAUUGACACUGAGGUGCGAAAGUGCGGGGAGCAAACAGGAUUAGAUACCCUCGUAGUCC
rnacentral:rRNA from 1 species